CAGCAGCCGCGGUAAUACGGAGGAUCCAAGCGUUAUCCGGAAUCAUUGGGUUUAAAGGGUCCGUAGGCGGUUUAGUAAGUCAGUGGUGAAAGCCCAUCGCUCAACGGUGGAACGGCCAUUGAUACUGCUAGACUUGAAUUAUUAGGAAGUAACUAGAAUAUGUAGUGUAGCGGUGAAAUGCUUAGAGAUUACAUGGAAUACCAAUUGCGAAGGCAGGUUACUACUAAUGGAUUGACGCUGAUGGACGAAAGCGUGGGUAGCGAACAGGAUUAGAUACCCUGGUAGUCCACGCCGUAAACGAUGGAUACUAGCUGUUGGGCGCAAGUUCAGUGGCUAAGCGAAAGUGAUAAGUAUCCACCUGGGGAGUACGUUCGC
rnacentral:rRNA from 1 species